rnacentral:tRNA from 1 species
GCGGGUGCGCCGACGCGGGAGGGUCGGGAGUGGCUGUAAACCACUUGCUAACGCCUAGGGGGUUCGAAUCCCUCCACCCGCACC